rnacentral:lncRNA from 1 species
UCAGGACAGCCUCAUAUGUUCGCCCAAAACACAAUAAUUCACUAAAUAUCUAAAUAUCUAAUUCACUAAAUUAUAAAUAACUAUAUUUAGUACAAAUACUGUUAUCUAAUAUCAUUAUUUAUAUAACAAAAUAAAUACAUAUAUCUCAUAAUUAUAAGAAAGGGACUUAUUUUCAAAUAUAUUGUACUUUUUAUAUCCUUC